AAAUUUCAUCACUAAAUUUUGAUUUUUUCGUAAGGCCGCCUUAUUUUACCUCCAAACUUCCCCAAAAUAACCUGUAAAUCCUUAGGUCAAUUGAACAGCAAAAUAACCUGUACCGGAGUGCUUCCCAUCAUCUUCGUUGCCAUCAGUCAAUUAAAUGGUUGGUAUAAUAUAUCCUAGUAAAUUCCGGAUGAAGCUAAUGGACCAGCAGAAAAAAGAUGGAGUUUCAUAAAGUAAUUCUACAAGAAUUUUCUACUAAACUUGAAGAUGCAGAGUCAUGAACAACAUUUUGUUAGCUUUAAAUUCUGAUGAGGAAGGUAUGCCUUUUAAGUAUUUUCUGCAAGAUUUUAGUAAUCUUUUACUUUUUGAACAUGGAUUGGAACUCUAGAAAUUUUGUAAGUAGUUUGUUUCAUGUUUGGUGACGUACAGGGAGUGUUUUGGAGAUAAAGUUAAACUGUAGUAUUUAGUUUUGAGUGUUUGAAGAAACUUGUUAUUGCUUUCUUUGGUUCAUUAUGUGUAAGAAGAUUGUUUUUUGUAAUAUAUCAUUUGUUUUAUCUAGUUUAAUGUAAAAUGAUCUGGUAUGUAAUUUGCUUUAAUAGCAAAAUUAUUUGGAAAAGUGCAUCUAAACACCCAAACCUAGUUUUGGCCUUUAUGGACAGAUGUCACCUUCAUCUUUUGGUAAAGUAUAAAUUUAAUUCAAUGAUGUCCAUUUUUUGCAAGCCAAAUAUAAAUGUGUAAUCAAUACUUUACUUGGGCUCAAAUAUAAAUUGAAUUUUAAAAACAAUAAUGAUGGUGCCAUGCUAGAGUAAGCUUUUGGAUUAUGAUUAUGGAUUUGGGGACUUUAAACUGUAGUUUCCAGCAUGUAUAGUUACAAUAUUAUCCCUAUUUUAGGGAUGAGAAAUACAUAAAAACAAUAUAAUAUACAUUUUCCUAAUAUAUGUAUAUUUAGUAUAUGUUCCUGCAGUCAAGUUUUGAACUUUGAAGUAGUCAUCGACCAGUCCACUUUCAAAUAGGUCAAUUUCAAAUGGGUUUGAAGUCUCCUAAUGAAUGCAUAGGAUCUUCUAUCUAGUCUAGUUCUAUUCAAAGAUUUUGAUUGUUACUGUGACGAUUUUGUUUUUUGUUGUAUUAACUAAUGCAUUGCCUAUUUAUACAAACCUUAACAAAAUAGACAAGAAAGUGCUUGUGAUCAACCAAAACCGACAUGUUUAAAACAACUGUGCUGAAAUGUUCAGAUGAACUUUUGUUCCUAAAGGUCUAACUUAAAGGUUUGCUUGUCUUAUAGUUGCCCAAUAUUAAUAGUUUCAUGAGACGUUGAAUGAGGUGAUUGAUUUUUAUGUAAGAGUGGAAUUAGGUCAGUCACUUUCGUUUUCUAUCAGAUUGUAUUUGUUUAUUCGUUCGGGUUUAACCUAGAUCUUGUGUGUCGUGCGCUUUAAUCUAGAAAAUAAGAAGACAAGAUGCUAUUUCUAGCCGAUUUGCUUUACCAAAAGAGAAGGAUCACUGGAGGUAAAGUUUAUAUUAUCAUAAUCAUAUGAAUGAUUUUUAUUUGAUUAUAAUUUCUGACUUUGAAACUGUCAUGUCUCCAUAUGGUGACUAGUUAACAUGAUCCCUUGCAUUUGAUGAUUUUUUAAGUACUAACUACAAUAAAAUAUUUACAUGGGCUAGCUGACAAGAUCCCUUAGAUCAUGCAUAGUCAAUCGUUUUUUGGGUGCGUUUUCAAAAUCAACGCCCUAUCACGCCACCACCUCCGCCACCCCCAUGGGCGUUUUUCAACCCAAAAUUGCCCAGAGCGUUUUAAAUACAACGCCGGAGAGAAAGUUGUUUGGCCAAUUAGUUGUUUCCAUGCUCCAUUUGUCCAAUUACAUUUUUUAUGUUUUUUUUAUUUAAUUCUAUUACACCACAACGCCCACAUCCCCACUACACUCAUGCUGGUUCUGUUUCAUUUUAAUCACUAAAAAGAAAAGAAAAGGUUGCUUAAGUGUGCUUGAACUAGUGUUCCUGAACUUUACAAUAUCACAUUAUUACUUUCGAAAAGACAUAGGUAGGCUAGAGGCCUUGACACAUACUUUAUCCCAAAAAGUAAAACCAUAUCAGCUUUUUUAACCAGAGAAGUCAAAACCAAAUAUUACAGUAACUUCAGAUGGACCGUGUUAAUUUUUACCUUCUGGACUUGCACUAACUACUUUCUUAAAAGAUAUGUUUAUGUUAAACUUGUGAUAAGACCAUAUGGUUUAUUUUCUACAAUUCAAGAUUGUAUUGGUGCAUCUAUCGUAUGGCCUGAUCCAUUCAUCUCGGUAGUCCAUGAGGAUUGAGGACGCAUGAUGACUCAAGAUUUU